GACGAACGCUGGCGGCGUGCUUAACACAUGCAAGUCGAACGGAAAGGCCCUGCUUUUGUGGGGUGCUCGAGUGGCGAACGGGUGAGUAACACGUGAGUAACCUGCCCUUGACUUUGGGAUAACUUCAGGAAACUGGGGCUAAUACCGGAUAGGAGCUCCUGCUGCAUGGUGGGGGUUGGAAAGUUUCGGCGGUUGGGGAUUGACUCGCGGCUUAUCAGCUUGUUGGUGGGGUAGUGGCUUACCAAGGCUUUGACGGGUAGCCGGACUGAGAGGGUGACCGGCCACAUUGGGACUGAGAUACGGCCCAGACUCCUACGGGAGGCAGCAGUGGGGAAUAUUGCACAAUGGGCGGAAGCCUGAUGCAGCAACGCCGCGUGCGGGAUGACGGCCUUCGGGUUGUAAACCGCUUUCGCCUGUGACGAAGCGUGAGUGACGGUAAUGGGUAAAGAAGCACCGGCUAACUACGUG
rnacentral:rRNA from 1 species